rnacentral:antisense_RNA from 1 species
CUUCACGGAGCCGAGCAGCAGCGGCCGGUGCUCGUCGCGGUUGCGGCCGUAGGUGGCCAGCAACGCCUGGGCCUC